GAUGAACGCUGGCGGCGUGCUUAACACAUGCAAGUCGAGCGAAGCGAUUUGACGGAAGUUUUCGGAUGGAAGUCAGAUUGACUGAGCGGCGGACGGGUGAGUAACGCGUGGGUAACCUGCCUCAUACAGGGGGAUAACAGUUAGAAAUGACUGCUAAUACCGCAUAAGCGCACAGUAUCGCAUGGUACGGUGUGAAAAACUCCGGUGGUAUGAGAUGGACCCGCGUCUGAUUAGCUAGUUGGUGGGGUAACGGCCUACCAAGGCGACGAUCAGUAGCCGACCUGAGAGGGUGACCGGCCACAUUGGGACUGAGACACGGCCCAAACUCCUACGGGAGGCAGCAGUGGGGAAUAUUGCACAAUGGGGGAAACCCUGAUGCAGCAACGCCGCGUGAGUGAAGAAGUAUUUCGGUAUGUAAAGCUCUAUCAGCAGGGAAGAAAAUGACGGUACCUGACUAAGAAGCCCCGGCUAACUACGUGCCAGCAGCCGCGGUAAUACGUAGGGGGCAAGCGUUAUCCGGAUUUACUGGGUGUAAAGGGAGCGUAGACGGCGAGACAAGUCUGAAGUGAAAGCCCGGGGCUCAACCCCGCGGACUGCUUUGGAAACUGCCUUGCUGGAGUGUCGGAGAGGUAAGUGGAAUUCCUAGUGUAGCGGUGAAAUGCGUAGAUAUUAGGAGGAACACCAGUGGCGAAGGCGGCUUACUGGACGAUAACUGACGUUGAGGCUCGAAAGCGUGGGGAGCAAACAGGAUUAGAUACCCUGGUAGUCCACGCCGUAAACGAAGAAUGCUAGGUGGUGGGGAGCAAAGCUCCUCGGUGCCCCCGCAAACGCAUUAAGCCAUCCCACCUGGGGAGUACGUUCGCAAGAAUGAGACUCAAAGGAAUUGACGGGGACCCGCACAAGCGGUGGAGCAUGUGGUUUAAUUUGAAGCAACGCGAAGAACCUUACCAAGUCUUGACAUCCUCUUGACCGACGAGUAACGUCGUCUCCCCUUCGGGGCAAGAGAGACAGGUGGUGCAUGGUUGUCGUCAGCUCGUGUCGUGAGAUGUUGGGUUAAGUCCCGCAACGAGCGCAACCCUUAUCCUUAGUAGCCAUCAUUAAGUUGGGCACUCUAGGGAGACUGCCAGGGAUAACCUGGAGGAAGGUGGGGAUGACGUCAAAUCAUCAUGCCCCCUAUGAUUUGGGCUACACACGUGCUACAAUGGCGUAAACAAAGAGAAGCGAGACCGCGAGGUGGAGCAAAUCUCAGAAAUAACGUCUCAGUUCGGAUUGUAGUCUGCAACUCGACUACAUGAAGCUGGAAUCGCUAGUAAUCGCGAAUCAGAAUGUCGCGGUGAAUAAAAGGCCGGGUCUUGUACA
rnacentral:rRNA from 1 species